GCAGGGUGCAGGGGUGUGUACCUGUAGUCCCAGCUACUCGGGAGGCUGAGGUGGGAGGAUCGCUUGAGCCCAGGAGUUCUGGGCUGUAGUGCACUAUGCCCAUGGAGUGUCUGCACUAAGUUCAGUGUCAAUAUGGUGACCUCCUGGGAGCCGGGGACCACCAGGUUGCCUAAGAAGGGGUGAACCGGCCCAGGUCAGAAAUGGAGCAGGUCAAAACUCCUGUUCUGAUCAGUAGUGGGAUGAUGCCUGUGAAAUAGCCACAGCACUCCAGCCUGGGCAACAUAGCGAGACCUCGUCUCU
rnacentral:SRP_RNA from 1 species